rnacentral:rRNA from 1 species
CUACGGGUUGCAGCAGUGGGGGAUAUUGCACAAUGGGCGAAAGCCUGAUGCAGCAACGCCGCGUGAAGGAAGACGGUUUUCGGAUUGUAAACUUCUAUCAGCUGGGAAGAAAAUGACGGUACCAGACUAAGAAGCCCCGGCUAACUAUGUGCCAGCAGCCGCGGUAAUACAUAGGGGGCAAGCGUUAUCCGGAAUUACUGGGUGUAAAGGGUACGUAGGCGGCUGAUCAAGUCAGAUGUGAAAGCCCGGAGCUCAACUCCGGGAUUGCAUUUGAAACUGGUCGGCUAGAGUGCAGGAGAGGAAAGUGGAAUUCCUAGUGUAGCGGUGAAAUGCGUAGAUAUUAGGAAGAACACCAGUGGCGAAGGCGGCUUUCUGGACUGUAACUGACGCUGAGGUACGAAAGCGUGGGGAGCGAACAGGAUUAGAUACCCGAGUAGUC